UUCAUCUUCUGUUAGUAUUGUGAUAUCAGAAAACACAUAAUACUAUCAGAUAUUAUUACAUAUAAUUGUGGCGCACUCCAAUUUUAGCACUUAAUUUUUUUUUUGUCCAUAUGUCGUGUGUGAAAUUGAAUAUAUAGUUGUUGGUAACUAGCAUAUCUGAAUAACUAUUCUCAUUCAACUGGUACACAAAUGAAAACAGACUGUAAUUUAACCUCUGUUCUAGUUCAUUUGUAUUUAAUAUUUAUGUCCUAACGACAACUGUUUGAGUAUGUUUGGGAUCAGCUUGACAAGAUGCCCAUGACCAAGGAGGAGGGUUCUGGUUCAUGUGUAAGGUAAGUUUAUUUGGUGUGAACACAGUUUGAGCUUUUGAUUCAUAGCAAACUUGAUUUAGUGUUCAAUAUAUAUGAACGGUUUACAUUCUUUAUGCCAAUCCAGAUACAUGUUUGAGUGAGGAAUAUAUAUGAAAGAUUUUAGAUCUGUUGAGUUUUUCCUUGGCAGUAUUUUUCUGAAAGAUUUGGCUUUCUAAUAUUUUACGCUUUACUACCAAUGAGGUUCUACUUAGUUGAUAUUACUAAUACCAGAACUUCAUUUAUAUCUUGCAGCUUCAGAAAAUGGACAAUUUCCUCUUUACCUUUGAGUCGAUCUGUAAAUGAUCGAGGGACACCCCAAUAAGCUCUGUGAUCAGAUUUCUGAUGCAGUGCUUGAAUUUUCUAGAGUAUGAUAUAUAAUGUAUAAGCUUUGUGAUCAAAUUUCCUAUACAGUGUUUAACAUUUUGAUAGUAUGAUGUAUGAAGUAUUUCAAAUUCUUCAAUGGAAUAUUAAUUGUAGAUGGGUAUCUCUUUUGUUUAUUCAAAUGUACAUAGCACUAUAGCUUUGUCAUUGUGAUGUAUGUAUUUUUUGCUAACAGAAUAAUUGAUUUUCUGCAUUUGAUCAGAAAAUCAAUGUGUAAUUUUUUUUUU
rnacentral:lncRNA from 1 species